rnacentral:rRNA from 1 species
UCAGUGAAUCAUCGAAUCUUUGAACGCACAUUGCGCCCCUUGGUAUUCCGGGGGGCAUGCCUGUUCGAGCGUCAUUUCAACCCUUACGCCUGGCGUAGUCUUGGGCCGUACCCUCACGGGUAGGCCUUAAAAUCAGUGGCGGUGCCCUUGCGGUCCUGAGCGUAGUACUUUUUUCUCGCUAUAGGCCCCGGGAGGACGCUUGCCAGCAACCCCAAUUUUUUUCUGGUUGACCUCGGAUCAGGUAGGGAUACCCGCUGAACUUAAGCAUAUCAAUAAGCGGAGGAAAAGAAACCAACAGGGAUUACCUCAGUAACGGCGAGUGAAGCGGUAAAAGCUCAAAUUUGAAAUCUGGCCCUUUCAGGGUCCGAGUUGUAAUUUGUAGAAGAUGUUUCGGGUGUGGCUCCGGGCUAAGUUCCUUGGAACAGGGCGUCAUAGAGGGUGAGAAUCCCGUAUGUGCCUGGCAGCCUACGCCUAUGUGAAACUCUUUCGACGAGUCGAGUUGUUUGGGAAUGCAGCUCAAAAUGGGUGGUAAAUUUCAUCUAAAGCUAAAUAUUGGCCAGAGACCGAUAGCGCACAAGUAGAGUGAUCGAAAGAUGAAAAGCACUUUGGAAAGAGAGUUAAACAGUACGUGAAAUUGUUGAAAGGGAAGCGCUUGCAAUCAGACUUGGGCCUAGGCGAUCAUGUAGGGUUCUCCCUGCUGCACUCGGUUAGGCCCAGGCCAGCAUCGGUUUUGGUGGUGGGAUAAAGGCCCUGGGAAUGUGGCCCCUCUCGGGGGGUGUUAUAGCCCAGGGUGCAAUGCCGCCUACUGGGACCGAGGACCGC